UAUCACUAAGCGGAGGAAAAGAAACUAACCAGGAUUCCCCUAGUAACGGCGAGUGAACGGGGAAGAGCCCAGCACCGAAGCCUGCGUCCGUUUGGAUGUAAGGCACUGUGGUGUUUAGGUGGUCGCAUGUUGACUUCUCUGCUGCCUCAAGUCCAGUAAUGAAUAUGGCUAUAUUUAACGGCCCAGAGAGGGUGAAAGGCCCGUGGGGGUAGCUGACAUACAAGAGGUUAACUGCGAUCGCCUUGGAGUCGGGUUGUUUGUGAAUGCAGCCCAAAGUGGGUGGUAGACUCCAUCUAAGGCUAAAUACUGACACGAGUCCGAUAGCGAACAAGUACCGUGAGGGAAAGUUGAAAAGUACUCUGAAGAGAGAGUUAACAGUGCGUGAAACCGCUUAGAGGUAAACGGGUGUAGUCAAGCUGCAAGCUUUGGGGAUUCAGCCGGUCAGUAUGACGUGAGCAUGAGCACAAUUGUUGGCUUGGUAGAGUUCACCUUGACUGGUGGGCCUGCUGUUGCAUGCUUAACGGUGUGCAGUAGUGGGUGUUUGGUUGACAUAUGGUCAUUGAACGCUUUACUUCAAGUUCCAGCUGCUGGCCGGUGCACUUCCUCAGAGUGUUAGCCACGACCGCCGUUGCUGCCGGUCUGCCAGGGCCAACCGGUUUAGUUGAGCUUUAAUUGGUUCAAUUGAGUCGGGAUGGCAGGUGGCCAUGCUGAGUUGACCUGGCAACAGGUUGGCCUGGUGUGGUGUUAUGUUAGCCGGUCCUGGUGGCUGUUAAAAUCUGUGCAGUAUGGUGGAGAUAACGACGUGUUAUAAAAUGGUAAAUGUGCUAUAGUCUGCCGGCGUGUUUUUAGGUCUGGCUGCCUGUUGUCAAUGCAAAUUGGCCUGGCGGCGGCUUAGACACGGUGUAGUGGACGGCCGCGUUUGCUAGCGAGUGUGCCCUGUAAUUCGGGGUGCACAGCAUGACGUCUAUAGUCUGUGGCGUAGUGGUAGACGAUCCACCCGACCCGUCUUGAAACACGGACCAAGGAGUUUAACAUGUGCGCGAGUCAAUGGGUGUGGUUAAUACACGUGAUACGAAACCCAGAGGCGCAGUGAAAGUAAAAGUCUUGCGGUUGGUUUGGUGUAAAAACUAGGCUGACUGGUUUGACUGAGGUGAGAUCCCGUCGGAUCCUGAGCUGACCUGGUCAUGCAAUAGACAGGCGGGCGCAUCACCGGCCCGUCCCAUGGUGUAAUUCACCGGGGCGGAGCAAGAGCGUACAUGUUGAGACCCGAAAGAUGGUGAACUAUGCUUGCGCAGGUUGAAGCCGGAGGAAACUCUGGUGGAGGACCGUAGCGAUUCUGACGUGCAAAUCGAUCGUAUGACGUGAGUAUAGGGGCGAAAGACUAAUCGAACCAUCUAGUAGCUGGUUCCCU
rnacentral:rRNA from 1 species